rnacentral:rRNA from 1 species
UUGUCCUACGGGGGGCAGCAGUGGGGGAUAUUGCACAAUGGGGGGAACCCUGAUGCAGCGACGCCGCGUGGGCGAUGGAGUGCUUCGGCAUGUAAAGCCCUAUCAGCAGGGAAGAAAAUGACGGUACCUGACUAAGAAGCCCCGGCUAAAUACGUGCCAGCAGCCGCGGUAAUACGUAGGGGGCAAGCGUUAUCCGGAUUUACUGGGUGUAAAGGGAGCGUAGACGGCCAGACAAGUCUGAAGUGAAAAUCCAGCGCUUAACGUUGGAAGUGCUUUGGAGACUGCCGGGCUAGAGUGCAGGAGGG